AUUGAACGCUGGCGGCAGGCCUAACACAUGCAAGUAGAACGAGUGGCGGACGGGUGAGUAAUGUCUGGGAAACUGCCUGCUGGAGGGGGAUAUCUACUGGAAACGGUAGCUAAUACCGCAUACCCUCAGAUGUGCCCCGAUGGGAUUAGCUUGUUGGGGGGGGAACGGCUCACCAAGGCGACGAUCCCUAGCUGGUCUGAGAGGAUGACCAGCCACACGGGACCUGAGACACGGUCCAGACUCCGACGGGAGGAAGCAGUGGGGAAUAUUGCACAAUGGGCGCAAGCCUGAGGCAGCCAUGCCGCGUGUAUGAAGAAGGCCUUCGGGUUGUAAAGUACUUGUAGCGUGGAGGCGUUACCCGCAGAAGAAGCACCGGCUAACUCCGUGCCAGCAGCCGCGGUAAUAC
rnacentral:rRNA from 1 species